rnacentral:lncRNA from 1 species
AGCGACUGUUUGUGUUCUAUGUUUUUUUCUAUUCAUCAUAAAUAGUAAUUUUUACAUACAUAUUACUUAAAAAUUGCAUAAUUUAGUACAUAAAAGCAUAUAAUUUAUAUUCGAAAUGAUAUACUUUCUAUUGAGAGAGCGGGAGGAGAGAAAAAAACAAAUGUAUAACUCUUGUUUAUCGAAUUUUUAUUCAUAACGUGCAUAGUGUAAACGUGUUAUGUGCUAUAUAUACGUGAGAACUAUGGUUAUCAUCUUCUUAUCCGGCGCUCACUGACACUAAGCUUUUAUCUCAAUCACAAAUUGCUAUAUGCUAGUCCCAAUAAUCAAAGUCUGGUCCAUGUCUGAUGAAACGGACAAUCAUUAAUCCUCCAGAAUGUGAUUGCACAGUACCAACAUACGUGGCAAGGAUUAACGGAACUAAUGGCCAUCUCAUCACUCGAACAGGUUGAAUCCGAAUCCGAUAGAGAUUUCGAAUUCGUUUAACGUACCGAUGACCUUUGACUUCACCUUAAUACUCCUAUUUUUUGUUUUUUUGUUUUUUUUUAUAUAUAUAUAUUUUCCUCCUCUGAUGAGAAAAAAAUUCUAUCAGCGUUAUACCGAAACGCAAUCAUUACUUGCAGCUGACGCAUUUUCUUCGGGUAUGAAAUUCGUAUACGCUUUGCAUUAAGAUCCGCCAUCAUGAAAGAGCAUUUUGCUGUAGUCACGCGAUUAUCACGAACGUUUCUCGCGUAUGUUUGAACGACACGGUGACGAUAGCAACGAGAAGCACCACAUAAUUCCAUUUUUUUUUUACUAUUACAUUUUUUUAAAGAGAGAGAACGAUUGGUAUUGAAGUUUAGAUGAUGUUUGUCUACUCUUUUAAUGUAUGGUUAAUCGAUCGGUGGGGUAGAUCAUCGAUGACGUCACGCUAAAAUAUACUUUGUGGUCGUUAACCAAAGAGGAAAACACUAAAAGUCUAAGUGCAUAAUAUAGUUAGUGUUUAUGGGCUAUCCAGCAGGAAUUAAGUACAGGAGGGGGAAAAAAAAGCCGUUAUUGUCAUUUCUAGACUAAUCUAAAAAUUUAUCUCUUUCCUGUUUAAAAAGCUGAAUAGAAUUUAUAAUGCCAAAGAUCCGAUUAAAAUUAAGAGUUUUAUAUAGGUCUGCAUAAAUGUCAUUUUUUUUUUUUGUAGUUUAAUCCCAGAUUGAUAUACUUAAAUCGUUCUAAAUAUAAAACCGAAAGAAUAAAAAAAAAAAAAAAGAGGAGAGGGGGGGAAAAAAUCGAUAUUUUCAAUUUGAUUUUUACUUGGAAACGUAAUUUAAAACAGAAAUAAAUUUUAAAUUAAACUUUUUUUUUAGGACGAAAUGUAUUUAAUUGCAAUAUUUCAUUCGCUCGUUAAUGUAAAUCACAUAUUCAUAAACGACUUAAUUUUAAUUAGACGUUUAUCGUUGAUUUUUAUUCCUUUAACUGUUGAAAUUUUACUUGUUAGCUUCUCAAAAAUUGCAAAUUUUUAAUUUUUUCGAACGACUGAAAGGCCGUAACUUAUUCAGGAGUAGAAUUAAUUUCUAAGUUAUAUCGAGCGCUCGAAGUAACUGCAGAAAGCUGUAGAAUAUAUAUAUAUAUGGAGAUGUAUAAGAUGCUAAAAUUCGUUCAGGAUUGAAAGAUUAAGUUCCUCAGAGAUGCCGAAGGAAACUGCAUACUCGUAGUUAAUCCAUUUAUAACGAUACUUUUGUAAGGUGGCACAAAUUUUCUGUUAGAAAUGUGUAAAAAAAAAAUAAUAUACGGAAACUAUGGAAGCAUGAAAAGUAAACAACUGAAUAAUGUCAACAGUAGUAGGUUAAAUCCAUUCACACAAGCUUCUAGUCCUAUUGCCAACUGAUAUUGCCAACAGCUAGAAGAUAUUCUGAGGUCAUGGAGCUCGUUUUCACCAGUUUUCGCAUCUAGACACUGUAAAAGAUUCCCUUGGGGGACAGACUGAGCCAUCGUCUCAAAUCGGUUUCUGAGUCAUCGCUCUUCCGUCCAGUCAGUCUGAUUUCUAAGCCUUUUUUCUAGUCUUUCGACAGCUAAUCUGUGAAACCACGAAAGGCACUUAGGCACCGAAGAUGGGUUUCUCAUCAACUUCUUUGUUUUUUCUUUCCCAAGAGAUUGGUUGCUCGUAAGUCUCUCAUUGCAGCACAUGUACCUUGGGAUUUGAUGUGGUAAAACGCCGCUCUUCUUUAUCUUUACCGAGACUUUUGACAGUGUUAUUUUUAUGCCGUGUUUAUGAUAAAAUAUUAUCUAAGUUAAACUAGAGGCCAAUAAAUUGCUCUCACACUGUUCGGCUUGUUAAAUUUCCAGUCAUUGUUGUUAAGGUUAGUUAUGUCAAAUCGUGUCGCUUCUGAUGGGCAACGUAACACGAUCGCUUCAGAUGAGAUAAUUAUGCAGAUUGUACGCAGUGCUUGUUAAAUAAUUACAAAUACCCACAUCUCGAAUUUCUGAUACGUAAAGUAAUUUAAUAUCGGAAAAUUAACAGUAAUGCAGAUUUUUAUUCGGUUAAGAGCAGAAUAAACAGCGCAACGAGCGAGCUAAUUAUUAAAGGUGAAGUCUAAUAUAUCCAAUUCUUAUAACAACAUUAAUAGUAAAGAGAGAGACAGGAAGUGACGCAGUAACAUUCUAGUUAAAGGUGAACUUCCGCUCACAAGUCGAUCUUUAAUCAUCAUUAGAAGUGCACGCGAUGUAUUGAACAUGCGCAAUAUGUAUCCCAAUCUCCAUUUAUUUUCUUCUGAUGUCCUCACGAAAUGUUUGGAGAAUUUAAGAAUUUUUCCACCACGACGUGGCUUCCAAAAAUGCAUCAUCGAUAUCGUUUGUGGUUUCAGAAUGCAUCAUCGAUGCAUUCUGGAACCACAAAGAAACUACGACGUGGUUUCUUUGUGCACAAAGUUUCGGUUUUUGAAAAUUACGUCGUGAUUUCUUUUCGGUUUCUGAAAAGUCAUGAAGUAGCUUCUCAGAAUGUAAAGCAAAAAUUUUCUCAGCAAUAAAAAUUUAAACAUCCCAAGAAAGGUAUUAAAGAUAC